UAGGGAAUCUUCCACAAUGGACGCAAGUCUGAUGGAGCAACGCCGCGUGAAUGAAGAAGGGUUUCGGCUCGUAAAGCUCUGUUGUUAAAGAAGAACGUGGGUAAGAGUAACUGUUUACCCAGUGACGGUAUUUAACCAGAAAGCCACGGCUAACUACGUGUCAG
rnacentral:rRNA from 1 species